rnacentral:rRNA from 1 species
ACAAGCAGCGGAGCGUGUGGUUUAAGUUCGAUGAUACGCGAAGAACCUCACCCAGGUUUGACAUGCAUGUGGUACCAAGGUGAAAGCUGAGGGACCCUUCGGGGAGCAUGCACAGGUGUUGCACGGCCGUCGUCAGCUCGUGCCGUGAGGUGUUGGUUAAGUCCCGCAACGAGCGCAACCCCUGUCGCCAGUUGUAUUUUCUGGCGAGACUGCCGAGAAAACCUCGGAGGAAGGAGGGGACGAUGUCAGGUCAGCGUGGCCCUUACGCCUGGGGCUACACACACGCUACAAUGGGCAGUACAACGGGUCGCGAAGCCGCGAGGUGGAGCUAAUCCCAUCAAAGCUGUCCUCAGUUCGGAUUGCAGGCUGAAACCCGCCUGCAUGAAGCCGGAGUUGCUAGUAACCGCAGGUCAGCAUUACUGCGGUGAAUACGUUCCCGGGCCUU